GACGAACGUUGGCGGCGUGCUUAACACAUGCAAGUCGAACGGAAAGGCCCUGCUUUUGUGGGGUGCUCGAGUGGCGAACGGGUGAGUAACACGUGAGUAACCUGCCCUUGACUUUGGGAUAACUUCAGGAAACUGGGGCUAAUACCGGAUAGGAGCUCCUGCUGCAUGGUGGGGGUUGGAAAGUUUCGGCGGUUGGGGAUGGACUCGCGGCUUAUCAGCUUGUUGGUGGGGUAGUGGCUUACCAAGGCUUUGACGGGUAGCCGGCCUGAGAGGGUGACCGGCCACAUUGGGACUGAGAUACGGCCCAGACUCCUACGGGAGGCAGCAGUGGGGAAUAUUGCACAAUGGGCGGAAGCCUGAUGCAGCAACGCCGCGUGCGUGAUGACGGCCUUCGGGUUGUAAACCGCUUUCGCCUGUGACGAAGCGUGAGUGACGGUAAUGGGUAAAGAAGCACCGGCUAACUACGUG
rnacentral:rRNA from 1 species